CCUACGGGUGGCAGCAGUGAGGAAUAUUGGUCAAUGGCCGAGAGGCUGAACCAGCCAAGUCGCGUGAGGGAAGACGGCCCUACGGGUUGUAAACCUCUUUUGUCGGGGAGCAAAGCGAGUCACGUGUGACUCAUUGAGAGUACCCGAAGAAAAAGCAUCGGCUAACUCCGUGCCAGCAGCCGCGGUAAUACGGAGGAUGCGAGCGUUAUCCGGAUUUAUUGGGUUUAAAGGGUGCGCAGGCGGCAUGUAAAGUCAGGUGUUAAAGGCGCAGGCUCAACCUGUGUAUGGCACUUGAUACUUGCAAGCUGGAAUGCGGUAGAGGUAAAGGGAAUUCCUGGUGUAGCGGUGAAAUGCUUAGAUAUCAGGAGGAACAUCGGUGGCGUAAGCGCUUUACUGGGCCGUAAUUGACGCUGAGGAACGAAAGCCAGGGUAGCAAAUGGGAUUAGAUACCCGAGUAGUC
rnacentral:rRNA from 1 species